UUGACCUCAAAUCAGGUAGGACUACCCGCUGAACUUAAGCAUAUCAAUAAGCGGAGGAAAAGAAACCAACAGGGAUUGCCUCAGUAGCGGCGAGUGAAGCGGCAAAAGCUCAAAUUUGAAAUCUGGCGUCUUUGGCGUCCGAGUUGUAAUUUGAAGAAGGUAUCUUUGGGCCCGGCUCUUGUCUAUGUUCCUUGGAACAGGACGUCACAGAGGGUGAGAAUCCCGUGCGAUGAGAUGACCCGGGUCUGUGUAAAGUUCCUUCGACGAGUCGAGUUGUUUGGGAAU
rnacentral:rRNA from 1 species